rnacentral:lncRNA from 1 species
ACCAAACACUGGCCACUUAGAUACAACAAUCACUAUAUGCAGUUUUCCUGUUGGCUGCAUCUCAUGAAUAUCCUCAAUUGCACAGUGACCCUUUCCUUCAAAUGGCGUCUAUGGCACAGGAUACAAAGACUAAUUGAGGAGAUUCUGUUUUUGGAAUGUUUUAUUUAUAACCCCAAACUGAUUUGAAUUCAGUUCAUUUUUAAGAAUGGAACUACAGACUGGUAAUAAUUUCCUGCAGGAUGUGUUAUGCAGUGGAGCAAAACAGCGUGAAUGAUUUUGUCCUUCAUUCUACUUAUGACGUGCAUCAGAUGUUAUAAUCUGUAAGCGUUUAGUGCUUGAUGAUGGUGAGUUGAUGAAUUAAUGUCUGUCCCUCUUGAUCCCCUCGCUAUUCCUCCCUCCCAUUCAUGCUGUGCCAACAUCCGCAGGAAUUUGCAUGAUCAACAAAACACGUUUCUGUCUACUGCACUGUGGAAAACAAAAGGCCCUGAAUUACAGGGGACCCACAGCUCCGCGCCAAGACAUAGCUGUUGUCCAUCUCAUUAUGUGGUCUGGGUGCAGCUGUCCGCUGAACUAGCAGCUGUCGCUAGCUAAGUUUAGAAACGUCACCCGAGUGGCAUGCUAGCUUUUACAAUGAAAUACAUGAAAGUACAUUUUGAUAUAGUGAAUGUCAUUAUACUGACUUCAUGUCACUGCACACGUGUAUGACUUUCUUUCUUGUGUGAAAAACAGAAGAUAUUUUGGAAAAUGUCUUUUUGUCCAUAUAUCGGAUGUUAUUGGGAUCCAAUAUUGUAUAUGUUCAAUUUCAAACCAAAAAGUAAGUCAUACAGGUUCGUAAGUGAGUAAAUGAUAACUUCUAAUGAUUUUUUUUAUUUAUUUUUUUAGGUGAAUGAUCCCUUUAACUCAAGGAUUGUCUGUCGUGAAGUUUGAACCUACAUCCCCUGAUAGCACAAGCACAUCUGCGAGACAUCUAUGUGAUUUGCGGGUUUACAUCUGGAAGACGUAUUUUUUUUAGUGUUUGCUCAUCUGCAACACUUCUAUGUGACGUUUCCUGUCAGAUGUCAAAUAGACAUUUAGAAAUGUCUUUAGAUUGUUAUGAUUUAGAAUGUAUGUAAAACUGACAUCUUGUAGACGUUUGUCAGAUGUUUGUUCACAGCAGAUGCUUUCCAGAUGAAGCGAUCUUUAACAGACACAAUGCAUUGAAAGUGUGCUAUCUUGGUCCUUGACAUUGACUUGCAAUGCAAUUGCAUUUUCCAUUAGAAUAUCAUUUUUAUCUAUAGGUGAAGAUCACCAACUGGAUACAGAGGUUCCCAACCCCAUGUGUGAUCAUCAGCAAACAGAGAUUACAACCUGUGUGUCACAUGAGUGACGGUUUCCUCAGAUUUCCUUCUUUGACCCUCCCUGCUGGUAGUCUCUGAUAAUGCAAAUUCCAGUGAGAUCGAUUUCCUGCCAGUGUAAGCACUUUGUUAGGGGUCUGCUGGCCGAAAAGCUGCUUCCUGGGGUCAGCUGACUGACUGACAUCCUGUUGACACCAGCUGCCCCGCUGCUCCACCACUGUAACAGGCUCUAAUGGCAGUGCAGGCCAAUGAAGAAUGACAACAAAUAUCAAUCUCUAUCAGGUUAAUACAAUAAAAGCGUGACUCACAUUGCUAUGUUGUAGUCCUUACUCUUAAAACAUGGUUCUGCAAAUAUUACUGAUGCUACCUCAUUUGUAUUAGCUUUGGAUAAAGUGUAUGCUAAAUGAAUAAAUGUAAAUAUAUGUCAUGAAACGUCAUGAAAGGUCUAUAAGCUAUAGGAAUAUAUCAAUGAGCAAAGACAAUAAAUGUAUUAUUCUGUGGUGACCAGACUUGAUUUAGUUUGAUAAACUCUAUUGUUC